GUAGAACUGCCGAACCACUUUCCAGUCAGUUGCUCUCAGAGCAAAAUUGGGAGACAAACAUGACACAUUGGCUUCAAUUUGUUUUUGUUUCAGCAGUUUUGGGAGGUAAUUUUAUUCCUUCUUUGAACAAAGAUGACUAGUAUAAUCCAGGGCUUCAUAUGUAGCAGAUCCUUUAAAUAUGGCUUUCCCCCCUUUCUAGGUGUCCAAACAGCAAUCCAGCUGGUAGAAUCUGGAGGGGAUGUCAAAAGGCCUGGAGAGUCCCUCCGCCUCUCCUGUCAAGCUUCUGGAUUCACCUUCAGCAGCUAUGCCAUGAACUGGGUGCGACAGGCUCCUGGAAAGGGACUGGAAUGGAUUGCAGUAAUCUGGUCUGAUGGUAGCCAAAAAUAUUAUGCAGACUCAGUGAAAGGGCGCUUCACCAUCUCCAGAGACAACCCUUCAAACAUGCUGUAUCUGCAAAUGAAUAGCUUGAAAUCAGAGGACACUGCUGUUUAUUACUGUGCAAGAAGCAC